UGACAUGUCUGGAAUNCCNGAAGAGAUUUGGGAGUGCUCGCAAGAGAACCGGAACNCAGGUGCUGCAUGGCUGUCGUCAGCUCGUNUCGUGAGAUGUUGGGUUAAGUCCCGCAACGAGCGCAACCCUUGUCAUUAGUUGCUNCGAAAGGNCACUCUAAUGAGACUGCCGGUGACAAACCGGANGAAGGUGGGGAUGACGUCAAGUCCUCAUNGCCCUUAUGGGUAGGGCUUCACACGUCAUACAAUGGUCGGGACAGAGGGUCGCCAACCCGCGAGGGGGAGCCAAUCCCAGAAACCCGAUCGUAGUCCGGAUCGCAGUCUGCAACUCGACUGCGUGAAGUCGGAAUCGCUAGUAAUCGCGGAUCAGCAUGUCGCGGUGAAUACGUUCCCGGGUCUUGUACACNCCGCCCGUCACACCAUGGGAGUGGGUUUUACCAGAAGUAGUUAGCCUAACCGCAAGGGGGGCCGAUUACCACGGUA
rnacentral:rRNA from 1 species